GAUGAACGCUGGCGGCGUGCCUAAUACAUGCAAGUCGAGCGAACAGACGAGGAGCUUGCUCCUCUGACGUUAGCGGCGGAAGGGUGAGUAACACGUGGAUAACCUACCUAUAAGACUGGGAUAACUUCGGGAAACCGGAGCUAAUACCGGAUAAUAUAUUGAACCGCAUGGUUCAAUAGUGAAAGACGGUUUUGCUGUCACUUAUAGAUGGAUCCGCGCCGCAUUAGCUAGUUGGUAAGGUAACGGCUUACCAAGGCAACGAUGCGUAGCCGACCUGAGAGGGUGAUCGGCCACACGGGAACUGAGACACGGUCCAGACUCCUACGGGAGGCAGCAGUAGGGAAUCUUCCGCAAUGGGCGAAAGCCUGACAGAGCAACGACGCGUGAGUGAUAAAAGUCUUCGGAUCGUAAAACUCUGUUAUUAGGGAAGAACAAAUGUGUAAGUAACUAUGCACGUCUUGACGGUACCUAAUCAGAAAGCCACGGCUAACUACGUG
rnacentral:rRNA from 1 species